GACGAAGGAUGCACGAGUUAUCCGGAGUUAUAGGGCGUAAAGGGUACGUGGGCGGCUUGUCAAGGCCUGGGUUAAAUCCCGCAGCUUAACUGCAGAUCGGCCUUGGAAACUGGCUUGCUGGAGUGUGGUAGGGGUAGCGGGAAUUCCUGGUGUAGCGGUGAAAUGCGUAGAGAUCAGGAGGAACACCUGUGGCGAAGGCGCGCUACUUGACCAUGACUGACGCUGAGGUACGAAAGCUAGGGGAGCAAAAGGG
rnacentral:rRNA from 1 species